AACGCACAUUGCGCCCCGUGGUAUUCCGCGGGGCAUGCCUGUUCGAGCGUCAUUUAAACCAAUCCAGCUUGGCUGGGUCUUGGGCUCUCGCCUCCGGGCGGGCCUUAAAAUCAGUGGCGGUGCCACCCGGCUCUAAGCGUAGUAAAUACUCCUCGCUACAGGGCUCCGGGUGGAGGCUGGCCAACAACCCCCCAUUUUAUCAGGUUGACCUCGGAUCAGGUAGGGAUACCCGCUGAACUUAA
rnacentral:misc_RNA from 1 species